rnacentral:rRNA from 1 species
AAGUUGUUGCGGUUAAAAAGCUCGUAGUUGGAUCUGUGUGACACGCUGUCGGUUCACCGUUUUGAUGGUGUUUAACUGACAUGUCGUGGCACGUCCUGCCGGUUGGUAGCGUGUUCUCCCUCGGGAGUUAUGCGUUUACCAGUUCCAAUCCUGUCGCGGUGCUCUUCACCGAGUGUCGAGGCGGGCCGGCACGUUUACCUUGAACAAAUUUGAGUGCUUAAAGCAGGCUUCAAUUGCCGGAAAACUGUGUGCAUGGAAUAAUAUAAUAGGACUUCGGUUCUAUUUUGUUGGUUUUCAGAAUCCGAGGUAAUGAUUAAAAGGGCCUGGCGGGGGCAUUAGUAUUGCGACGUGAGAGGUGAAAUUCUUGGACCGUCGCAAGACUAACUGGAGCGAAAGCGUUUGCCAAGAAUGCUUCCAUUAAUCAAGAACGAAAGUUAGAGGUUCGAAGGCGAUCAGAUACCGCCCUAGUUCUAACCAUAAAUGAUGCCAGCCAGCGAUCCGUCGUCGCUCUUUUAUGACUCGACGGGCAGCUUCAGGGAAACUAAAGCUUUUGGGUUCCGGGGGAAGUAUGGUUGCAAAGCUGAAACUUAAAGGAAUUGACGGAAAGGCACCACCAGGAGUGGAGCCUGCGGCUUAAUUUGACUCAACACGGGAAAUCUCACCAGGCCAGAACACUAGAUGGAUUGACAGAUUGAGAGCUCUUUCUUGAUUUAGUGGG